rnacentral:rRNA from 1 species
UGAGGAAUAUUGGUCAAUGGGCGAGAGCCUGAACCAGCCAUGCCGCGUGCAGGAUGACGGCUCUAUGAGUUGUAAACUGCUUUUGUAAAGGGGUAAAGGACAGUACGUGUACUGUGAUGAAAGUACUUUACGAAUAAGGAUCGGCUAACUCCGUGCCAGCAGCCGCGGUAAUACGGAGGAUUCGAGCGUUAAUCGGAAUCACUGGGCGUAAAGCGCACGUAGGCUGUUUGUCAAGUCAGAGGUGAAAUCCCACGGCCCAACCGUGGAACUGCCUUUGAAACUGGCAGACUUGAGUGUCGGAGAGGGUGGCGGAAUUCCAGGUGUAGGAGUGAAAUCCGUAGAUAUCUGGGGGAACACCGGUGGCGAAGGCGGCCACCUGGACGAUAACUGACGCUGAGGUGCGAAAGCGUGGGUAGCAAACA